UGGGGAAUAUUGGACAAUGGGGGGAACCCUGAUCCAGCCAUGCCGCGUGUGUGAAGAAGGCCUUAUGGUUGUAAAGCACUUUAAGCGAGGAGGAGGGUACUGGUAUUAAUACUACCAGGUACUGGACGUUACUCGCAGAAUAAGCACCGGCUAACUCUGUGCCAGCAGCCGCGGUAAUACAGAGGGUGCGAGCGUUAAUCGGAUUUACUGGGCGUAAAGCGCGCGUAGGUGGUUCGUUAAGUUGAAUGUGAAAGCCCCGGGCUCAACCUGGGAACUGGAUCCAAAAACGGCGGGCUAGAGGAGGGCAGAGGGUGGUGGAAUUUCCUGUGUAGCGGUGAAAUGCGUAGAUAUAGGAAGGAACACCAGUGGCGAAGGCGACCACCUGGGCUCAUACUGACACUGAGGUGCGAAAGCGUGGGGAGCAAACAGG
rnacentral:rRNA from 1 species